CCUUAUAACUGCGCGGCGCACGUUUAGGAUAUUAUUUUUGUAAGCGAGCACAGAUACACCACAAGGAUCCGUGACGAUUAAUUGACCAUGCAGACCAGAAUUCCACGGUCACAACACGGCGUACGUGUUGUCAACUCGUCGCCACUGCGGAUUUCAAGAACGUAUUAACUGUCCCCAGUUGUCAGCAACAUGUGCCAGAAUUUUUCGUGCUUUAUCCGGAAAGAUCCGAAGUGAUACUAAUUAUCAUUCACCAGCGACCAAAUCCUUCGCGGUAAACAUCAAAACAUUACGCUAACCGCAGCGCUUAAAAUCAGCCAAAUACAACACGCUCAGUAUACUCCUUGCGUAUAAAUAGCGUUGCAACGGUUAGAAACAUUAAUUUGGGACUUGUUGUACAAAACGUGUCAGGCUCGUUCUGUGAUGUUUAUUAAAAAAUAUUGGCGAUUACACAUAUCAUAUUCUUGGCACAGUAUUCAAAGGUAAACGUUUAAUUAUGUUUUCACCAAGACAUGAUUUUAGAACACAAUUAAAAAUCGAAUGAAGACUAAUAAUCGAUGGAGUACACACAAUUUCAAAUUGUAUAAAGUAAUUAUUCGUCAAAACAUUUCUUUAACAAGUCGCCCUUAACUUUCUAGAAGUACCUAUAAUGGCCAACUCCAGAUGGUGUACACAGCAAAUUAUGUGUUAAUAUAUUUGAAGUCUCUAAAGAAGUAACGGAAUGUUAAUUUCCAGAUUUUAAAAUUUAUAAGGAAUUACUUAAAAUCAUUGGAUUUUAUUAUUGCUACACUGGAUCAAAAAUCAUUUGUAAAAUUAACCAAGUCAAUUUAUUGUUAAUAAACAAUAAUUAUAUAACUAAGGAAUAAUUGGCUUGUAGCAUAUUACACAUUGAUGUAUCUUCUGUGUAAUUAUUAAUCAAUGUUUAUUAAUUAAUGUUUUUGGAAAUUUUGAAGUGAACUAGCAACUUAGAAAUCGUUAAAUCAAACAAACUGAACAGUGCCCGCUGUGAGCAUUGAAACUAUGUAGUAACACUGGACCAAAAAUCAUUUGUAAAAUUAACUGAGUCAUUUAUUAUAAUUUAUUUGGACAAUAGUUAAAAAUAACUUAGCUUUCUUUUUGAGUUACAAAAAUUAAUUCUUUGGAAUAAUACGACGGAACAUUAUCAGUUUGCUGCAAAAAAUAGGUAGCUUAACAUUUUUCAAUUCAUAGGAUUCCAUUACAAAGGUUUAUUCAUAAAACAUGUCUAAUACAACGUAUUAGAGACGUAAACACUAUAAAUGGUCUUUUAGAGCAGCAAACCAUUCAAUUAUUAUGGAUAAGUGUGAAGAUUUUAAAAAUAUAAAGUUACUCUUUGUAAAGCAAGAUAAAAUUAAAAGUUUAUUUAUAAAUAAUUAUAUAUUACCAAUAAAAUUUAUUUAAAAUAUACAUUUUUAUUUUAAUAUUAAUUUUUAAUAAACUAUUAAUUUU